rnacentral:rRNA from 1 species
UACGAAGGGGGCUAGCGUUGUUCGGAAUCACUGGGCGUAAAGGGCGCGUAGGCGGCUUUGUAAGUCGGGGGUGAAAGCCUGUGGCUCAACCACAGAAUGGCCUUCGAUACUGGGACGCUUGAGUAUGGUAGAGGUUGGUGGAACUGCGAGUGUAGAGGUGAAAUUCGUAGAUAUUCGCAAGAACACCAGUGGCGAAGGCGGCUCACUGGCCCAUUACUGACGCUGAGGCACGAAAGCGUGGGGAGCAAACAGG